AACGAACGCUGGCGGCAGGCCUAACACAUGCAAGUCGAACGCCCCGCAAGGGGAGUGGCAGACGGGUGAGUAACACGUGGGAACCUUCCCUAUACUACGGAAUAGCCCAGGGAAACUUGGAGUAAUACCGUAUACGCCCGAGAGGGGAAAGAUUUAUCGGUAUAGGAUGGGCCCGCGUAGGAUUAGCUAGUUGGUGAGGUAAUGGCUCACCAAGGCGACGAUCCUUAGCUGGUCUGAGAGGACGACCAGCGACACUGGGACUGAGACACGGCCGAGACUCCUACGGGAGGCAGCAGUGGGGAAUAUUGGACAAUGGGCGCAAGCCUGAUCCAGCCAUGCCGCGUGAGUGAUGAAGGCCUUAGGGUUGUAAAGCUCUUUUGCCGGGGACGAUAAUGACGGUACCCGGAGAAUAAGUCCCGGCUAACUUCGUGCCAGCCGCCGCCGUAACAC
rnacentral:rRNA from 1 species